GGGUUGUGAGGUUAAGCGACUAAGCGUACACGGUGGAUGCCCUGGCAGUCAGAGGCGAUGAAGGACGUGCUAAUCUGCGAUAAGCGUCGGUAAGGUGAUAUGAACCGUUAUAACCGGCGAUUUCCGAAUGGGGAAACCCAGUGUGUUUCGACACACUAUCAUUAACUGAAUCCAUAGGUUAAUGAGGCGAACCGGGGGAACUGAAACAUCUAAGUACCCCGAGGAAAAGAAAUCAACCGAGAUUCCCCCAGUAGCGGCGAGCGAACGGGGAGCAGCCCAGAGCCUGAAUCAGUAUGUGUGUUAGUGGAAGCGUCUGGAAAGGCGCGCGAUACAGGGUGACAGCCCCGUACACAAAAAUGCACAUGCUGUGAGCUCGAUGAGUAGGGCGGGACACGUGGUAUCCUGUCUGAAUAUGGGGGGACCAUCCUCCAAGGCUAAAUACUCCUGACUGACCGAUAGUGAACCAGUACCGUGAGGGAAAGGCGAAAAGAACCCCGGCGAGGGGAGUGAAAAAGAACCUGAAACCGUGUACGUACAAGCAGUGGGAGCACGCUUAGGCGUGUGACUGCGUACCUUUUGUAUAAUGGGUCAGCGACUUAUAUUCUGUAGCAAGGUUAACCGAAUAGGGGAGCCGAAGGGAAACCGAGUCUUAACUGGGCGUUAAGUUGCAGGGUAUAGACCCGAAACCCGGUGAUCUAGCCAUGGGCAGGUUGAAGGUUGGGUAACACUAACUGGAGGACCGAACCGACUAAUGUUGAAAAAUUAGCGGAUGACUUGUGGCUGGGGGUGAAAGGCCAAUCAAACCGGGAGAUAGCUGGUUCUCCCCGAAAGCUAUUUAGGUAGCGCCUCGUGAAUUCAUCUCCGGGGGUAGAGCACUGUUUCGGCAAGGGGGUCAUCCCGACUUACCAACCCGAUGCAAACUGCGAAUACCGGAGAAUGUUAUCACGGGAGACACACGGCGGGUGCUAACGUCCGUCGUGAAGAGGGAAACAACCCAGACCGCCAGCUAAGGUCCCAAAGUCAUGGUUAAGUGGGAAACGAUGUGGGAAGGCCCAGACAGCCAGGAUGUUGGCUUAGAAGCAGCCAUCAUUUAAAGAAAGCGUAAUAGCUCACUGGUCGAGUCGGCCUGCGCGGAAGAUGUAACGGGGCUAAACCAUGCACCGAAGCUGCGGCAGCGACGCUGAUGCGUUGUUGGGUAGGGGAGCGUUCUGUAAGCCUGCGAAGGUGUGCUGUGAGGCAUGCUGGAGGUAUCAGAAGUGCGAAUGCUGACAUAAGUAACGAUAAAGCGGGUGAAAAGCCCGCUCGCCGGAAGACCAAGGGUUCCUGUCCAACGUUAAUCGGGGCAGGGUGAGUCGACCCCUAAGGCGAGGCCGAAAGGCGUAGUCGAUGGGAAACAGGUUAAUAUUCCUGUACUUGGUGUUACUGCGAAGGGGGGACGGAGAAGGCUAUGUUGGCCGGGCGACGGUUGUCCCGGUUUAAGCGUGUAGGCUGGUUUUCCAGGCAAAUCCGGAAAAUCAAGGCUGAGGCGUGAUGACGAGGCACUGCGGUGCUGAAGCAACAAAUGCCCUGCUUCCAGGAAAAGCCUCUAAGCAUCAGGUAACAUCAAAUCGUACCCCAAACCGACACAGGUGGUCAGGUAGAGAAUACCAAGGCGCUUGAGAGAACUCGGGUGAAGGAACUAGGCAAAAUGGUGCCGUAACUUCGGGAGAAGGCACGCUGAUAUGUAGGUGAAGUCCCUCGCGGAUGGAGCUGAAAUCAGUCGAAGAUACCAGCUGGCUGCAACUGUUUAUUAAAAACACAGCACUGUGCAAACACGAAAGUGGACGUAUACGGUGUGACGCCUGCCCGGUGCCGGAAGGUUAAUUGAUGGGGUUAGCGCAAGCGAAGCUCUUGAUCGAAGCCCCGGUAAACGGCGGCCGUAACUAUAACGGUCCUAAGGUAGCGAAAUUCCUUGUCGGGUAAGUUCCGACCUGCACGAAUGGCGUAAUGAUGGCCAGGCUGUCUCCACCCGAGACUCAGUGAAAUUGAACUCGCUGUGAAGAUGCAGUGUACCCGCGGCAAGACGGAAAGACCCCGUGAACCUUUACUAUAGCUUGACACUGAACAUUGAGCCUUGAUGUGUAGGAUAGGUGGGAGGCUU
rnacentral:rRNA from 1 species